UUCGGAUAUAUGCGUUAUCUUUUGUAAAAAAGCUGAAAAUUUUAUCAAGUUCACAAUACGGCAAUAUCCCAGAAUAAUGAACAGGAACUCUGUGCAAUGACAUUGAAGCUUGUGGCAUUGUAUCGUUCUUCCUGCGACAUUU